UACGUAGGGUGCGAGCGUUGUCCGGAAUUACUGGGCGUAAAGAGCUCGUAGGUGGUUUGUCGCGUUGUUCGUGAAAACUCACAGCUUAACUGUGGGCGUGCGGGCGAUACGGGCAGACUGGAGUACUGCAGGGGAGACUGGAAUUCCUGGUGUAGCGGUGGAAUGCGCAGAUAUCAGGAGGAACACCGGUGGCGAAGGCGGGUCUCUGGGCAGUAACUGACGCUGAGGAGCGAAAGCGUGGGGAGCGAAAAGG
rnacentral:rRNA from 1 species